GAGCAAGUUGAGAACUCCUGGAGGACAGUGUAUGGGCUUCAGUCCAUUUUCUAAUAUCUGUAAUGUGUAACCAAAGGGCUUCCAAGCUUGCUGAAUCAAGAGACAUUCUCCCUGUGGAUUUUGAAGCAGCUGAAAUGUUUUGAAGGAUGUUCUCUCGUGAGCUGAAGGCAUACUCAGUUCUUCUCCACCCCACUUUAUCAUCCCGACCACCCUGUGAGGCA